CGUAUUCCUGGUCGCUGAUGGAAAACAUGGAUUCUAGACCCAAAUUAAAAACAGCAGCACAAAGAAAGAAAUGGAGUCAAAGAAAAAGGCAAGAAAGAGGGAGAAAGCGAAGGAGAAGAGAAAAUGGAAAAUAUUUCUUCGUAUAGGACAUUUCCCCGGGAGAGCCUGAUGAACAAGCGAAGAGGCCUGUGAUAAGAAUUUAAUCAUGUGAUCUCUCCGGGAGUCUUGAUAAAAAAAAAACGGGCUGUAGGCCUAGAAGUGGUGACGGCUGCCAGUGACCCCCGCGAGUACCUCCUCACGUCACGGCAUGUCAUGUCACUUGUCAUUUCAACGGCGAAUGAGAUGAAAAUGAUGGCGGUGAUUGAUGUUACCUUCGCCUAUCUUCAUUGAGGCUUCUUGAUCCAC